rnacentral:rRNA from 1 species
CCUACGGGCGGCUGCAGUGGGGAAUAUUGCGCAAUGGGCGAAAGCCUGACGCAGCGACGCCGCGUGAGGGAUGAAGGUCUUCGGAUCGUAAACCUCUGUCAGCAGGGAAGAACGGUCACUGUGCUAAUCAGCAGUGAAUUGACGGUACCUGCAAAGGAAGCACCGGCUAACUCCGUGCCAGCAGCCGCGGUGAUAGGGGGGGGGCGAGCUUUAAUCGGAGUUACUGGGCGUAAAGCGCUCGGGGGCGGGAUGGCAAGUCAAGGGUGAAAUCCCCGCGCUCAACGUGGGAACUGCCUUUGAAACUGGCAAACUGGAGUGUGUGAGAGGAUAGUGGAAUUCCAGGUGUAGGAGUGAAAUCCGUAGAUAUCUGGCAGAACAUCAGUGGCGAAGGCGACUAUCUGGCACAUAACUGACGCUGAGGAGCGAAAGCGUGGGUAGCAAACAGGAUUAGAUACCCGAGUAGUC